AUUUCCAUUGUUGCUGGAGUGUGCGUGAGUGUCUGAAAGAAAAUGUAAGAGACGAACCUUUGCAAAAGCAGACUCCUGCUAAGGAAAAAUAAGCUUUGCCACCCAGUUUUGGUCAUGGGGACUUGAGUUACUGUGACCUCAGAGGCCCCUAGGGGCCUGAUCAUUUUUUUUCUUUCUUUUUUCCUCCAUCUUUUCUUUUCUUUUCUUUCUUUCUUCCUUCCUUUUUCUUUGCUUGCUUUUUUUUUUUUCAAAUGAGUGAUUGAUUUUAAUGAGGAUUGCUAUAGGAUGCUAUAGGAUGCUAUAGGAAUGUCUAAUGUACAGUACAUUAGACAUUCAAGCCUCUGCAUAAGGUGUGGGAAACUGAGAGGGGAGAGAGAAUCAAGCAAAAACCCCCACUCUGUGCCUCUGCUGAGAAUCCAGGGCUGUAAUUGAGGCCGUUGCAAGGCUUUACAAGACGGAUUGUAGCUCAGGAUGUGAAAAGAUUGCCUCAUCAUCAUGCUCCAAUAUGGCUCAGAAAGGCACUGAGAAAACCUAGCCUUAGCUAGGCUAAGAGCCUAGCUUCUGGCCUGGCUUUUACGUGGUCAGCGGAUGUGCGUCCAUCCCCCUGCACUGGUUCCCCUUGUCCUUUCUGUGGCUCUCCUGGAUUCCUCUCGUUCAGCUCCUUGGUGUACAGAGCCUAUGUCAAUGGCAAUGGUGAGGGAAAUUGCCAGAGCCCUGCCCUCCAGGCCUGUCCUUAUUCAUGGGGAUCUGAGAAGAAGAGAUUAGGACCCAGACAUGCACAGAGGAGACCCUGUAAGGACACAAAGAGAAGACAGCCAUCUGCAAGCCAAGAAGAAAGGCCUUGGGGGAAACCAGCCCUGCCCACACCUUGGUCUGGACUUCCAGCUGAUUCUUGGAUGAGCUGGUCCUUAGGCACGGAGGCAGGACUGUGAGAAAAUAAAUUUCUGUUUUUAAUUCACCU
ensembl:lncRNA LINC02265 long intergenic non-protein coding RNA 2265